AACCAUUUAAUAUUAACACACACACAUAUCGACACAUACACUUGGGUGCAUCGCGGAAUAACUUCCAAGGUGUUGGUGCUAUGGGAUAUGUGGAGGCCUAAC
rnacentral:sRNA from 2 species